UACAGAGGUCCCGAGCGUUAGGCGGAAUCACUGGGCUUAAAGCGUGUGUAGGUGGAUCGUUAAGUACCUUGUGAAAUCUCCCGGCUCAACUGGGAGGGGGCCUUGCAGACGGGCGGGCUUGAGGGUCGCAGAGGGGCGUGGAAUUCCGGGUGGAGCGGUGAAAUGCGUAGAGAUCCGGAGGAACACCGACGGCGAAGGCAGCGCCCUGGACGACACCUGACGCUCAGGCACGAAAGCUGGGGGAGCAAACAGG
rnacentral:rRNA from 1 species